rnacentral:rRNA from 2 species
UACGUAGGGUGCAAGCGUUGUCCGGAUUUAUUGGGCGUAAAGAGCUCGUAGGCGGUUUGUCACGUCGGCUGUGAAAAUCCGGGGCUCAACCCCGGACCUGCAGUCGAUACGGGCAGACUAGAGUUCGGCAGGGGAGACUGGAAUUCCUGGUGUAGCGGUGAAAUGCGCAGAUAUCAGGAGGAACACCGGUGGCGAAGGCGGGUCUCUGGGCCGAAACUGACGCUGAGGAGCGAAAGCGUGGGGAGCAAACAGG